UGGCAGCGGAUGCUUGAGAACCACGGGGGUUGGCACUGGCUGGCAAGGGAGGAAGAGGCCGCCGGGACUGCCCCAGCCUGCGGGCAUCUGGUAGAUGAAGCUUGCUUGGGUCAAUCCAUUUCUCCUGGCUGGAAACCCAUGGUCUUCCAUUUGAGAACUAGAUACGAACAGGGUGAGGCAAGAGGGAGAGGGAAGAGUGGGUUUUGGGAUUGGGGCCAGUUUACCCUCACCCUGGAGUCCCUGGAGCAUGGGACCUUUGAUGAAGCCUCCUCCCGAAUCUCUUCCAGGGCAGCAAUGAACUUCAUCAAGUUCCAUGUGAGUAUCCACCCCUACAACAGUUGGCUGCACAGACAAGUUGGGAAGGCUUCAGGGGACAUCCCCUCCCUGCCCUCUGCUGCAGGGCUGUGCCAGCCCUUACCACUUCCACUCCCCCUCGCUUACCCCACCUUUGUUCUCUCCAGCGAACUGUGACUGUCUAAAUGGAGGAACAUGUGUGUCCAACAAGUACUUCUCCAACAUUCACUGGUGCAACUGCCCAAAGAAAUUCGGAGGGCAGCACUGUGAAAUAGAUAAGUCAAAAACCUGCUAUGAGGGGAAUGGUCACUUUUACCGAGGAAAGGCCAGCACUGACACCAUGGGCCGGCCCUGCCUGGCCUGGAACUCUGCCACUGUCCUUCAGCAAACAUACCAUGCCCACAGAUCUGAUGCUCUUCAGCUGGGCCUGGGGAAACAUAAUUACUGCAGGAACCCAGACAACCGGAGGCGACCCUGGUGCUAUGUGCAGGUGGGCCUAAAGCCGCUUGUCCAAGAGUGCAUGGUGCAUGACUGCGCAGAUGGUGAGCAUCACUGACCUGCUGAUGACAGUG
rnacentral:lncRNA from 1 species